AUAUGUUUAAGAAGAAUUUCUAACUUAGCACUCCGGCUAGUAUUUCUAGCACAUAUGCUUAUUAGAUUGGCGACAGGCAGAAACAGAGAUAGGAGAAAACCAGGAUUGUCUUCAGCAGCUAACACGGUGGAGGGUAGAGGCACAAAGUAGGGCUGACUAGGAACCCCCAGGGGACCAGGCUAAGGAAAUUCCUGGGCCUUAAAAUCCAGGAACAGACUGACCUCUCUGGAAGCUAGACACAGGAAAAACGAGCUUAGCUCAUCUGUCCCUUGGCCUCAGGUCAUCUCCACAGCUUAUUUGGUAAGGGUCACCAAACAAACCACUAAGGCAACUGUGUGUCUGGGUGGCCACCAACACACAGGGGCCCUUCUUUGGUAACCAAGUGAGCUCAUCAGGUGGGGCAAGAUUCAGAGGGCCCACAUUCACUUUUUCCCACUGAGUCUCCAAGAGGGCAAUACAAAUCUUUCUAAUUUGUACAGGGAGGCAUAUGGGAUGGGGAGAGGAAGUACUGUAGAUAGAAGAAAGGAAGCCAGGCUUAGAUGAUCUGCCUGGACCCCUUUACAUAUACAGCCGUGUGUGACUAAAGAGAAUGUAGAAGGUGCCCUGAUCCUGCCCUUCCAUCCACCCCACCUAUAGCAAUUCCAUCUGAUGCACGCCUGGGCUCCCCAGUUCGACUGGCACUAAGAUACCAAGUUACCAUCUGAGACCUCACCACAAGGGCUAGAGACUCCAGGAUGUGUGAAAGCUGUCCUCAGGCAGUGAUGGAUAUUUAUGGCCAAAGAGGACGAAACCCAGUCUUUGCCUGGAAAAGAACUGCAGAAACCUGGAAGUACCCUGUCGGCGCACACGGCACAGCGUGGGAGCCCCUGACCGGCUGUGAGCACCCAUCCCGACAUCCGGACUCUGUCUCUGACUCUCGCGAGCUCUCGAAUGUGCGUCCGUACUUCUCGCGGGAUCUCAGGGCAUCAGGAUUGAAGAUUAAGUGAUGCCCGCCCUAAUCCCUGAUCGCCAGGGAGCUGAGAUGCUGGGUCUGCGGUUGUAACUUGCUCAAGCUUGAUGCUAUCGACAGAGAAACAAGUGAAGCAGGUCAUAUCAGAAUUUGAAUUGCAGAAGCAACUGGAGAUAAGAGGCAGGGCCCCAAAAAGAUCCUGUAGAAGGUCCCAAAACGGAACCGACCCACCCCUCAGGGAGCCAGGGCUGGAGAGGAGCUAUCACAACACCCAGAAGAUCAGCGAGGAGGCUCCUGUGGUUAUCAUCAGGCAAGUGACGAUGGUGACAUGAUCCAGGUGAAAGGGUUAGGAGAGCACCUGGAGAGUGAACGCGCAGGUGGACCAAGUGCCCUAAAGCCACGCUGUGAAGGCAGCGGGCAAGUAAACCAGCUUAAGCUCAGUGGACUCCCCCAAGUUCUUCCUCCCCAUCCAAAGUUACAAGCCACAGAGCCCCACUUGGCUCGGAGCCGGUUUCCAGUUCACUGGGCACCACUUCUCUUCUUCACCCGGGGGGAGGGGUCCCCAAUUAGCUGGAGGAAGGGUCCCCAGCAUGGUCCUAUGUCCUCACAGCAGGAGGGCAGCUGCGUAGUCAGGGCUCCUCCCUCUUCCCACGGCUCUGCCAAGUCCGCAUGGCCAAGGUGUGUCCCCACUCCACCUGGAACUGCUCCAGCCUCAGGGGGAGGAAGG